GUUCUCUUUCAACAGUAUAUAUACUAAAACUGAAGUGACACAGAGAAAAUCAGCAUGGCCUCUGCAUAAGAAUGACAGCAUGAUUUUAAGAGGCCAUGAAUCUGAAA
ensembl:snRNA U6 U6 spliceosomal RNA